rnacentral:rRNA from 1 species
AAUCAACGCUGGCGGCGUGCCUAACACAUGCAAGUCGAACGAGAAGGUGACUUCGGUCACUGGAUAGUGGCGUCCGGGUGAGUAACACGUAGGUAAUCUACCUUCGGGUGGGGAAUAACGUCUCGAAAGAGACGCUAAUACCGCAUAAUGCAGCGGCACCUAAUGGUGAUUAGUUGUUAAAGCGGGGAGUCUUCGGACCUCGCGCCUGAAGAGGAGCCUGCGGCGAGAUAGCUAGUUGGUGAGGUAAUGCGUCACCAAGGCUUCGAUCUGUAGCUGGUCUGAGAGGACGGCCAGCCACACUGGC